rnacentral:lncRNA from 1 species
AGACAAACAGAUCAGAGUACUAAAUGUGAAGAAUGAAGUAACCUUAAGCCUUUCAUGUGCUUCUGGUAAAGGAGGCACGAAAAACAAAAAAAAUUAGAAAAAUUAGCCCCAAGAUGAGAAGGCCUAGAGUUCUGAUACCUCAUACCCAGAGGCGGAUGAAGAAAAUGAAAGUCAAAUCGGAACCAAGGAAGAGACCUCGUUUGACAGCGAUGAAGAUCAGAGCAGCAGCGACCGCCAACAGGCGGAAAGGCACGAGCCGCGCGGCUGAGCUGAGGAGGCAGAGGAGCAGAAAAG